CUCCCUGCCACUGUGCUACAGCUGAAACUUCGACUAGCAAGCACACGUCAACUAUCAUUCGAUUCUAAAACUCUAAGCUGAAUUUCAUUUCACAACAAUACGUGCAGCAAUACUGGUGAAUAGCUGUUGAUAUAUCAGUAAGCAUUCCCUCCACCUAUUUUGGACAUUCUGCAAACUGAUCAAAAAGAUUAUAACUACAAUUUCUUCCGUCAACAGUGCUAAAAAUUUGUGGGAAAAAAAUAGUGCAUCUUCUC
rnacentral:misc_RNA from 1 species